ACUGUUUAUAAAAAACACAGGUCUCUGCAAAAUGGUAAGAUGUAGUAUAGGGGCUGACGCCUGCCCGGUGCUGGAAUGUUAAGAGGAGUGCUUAGCGCAAGCGAAGGUACGAAUUGAAGCCCCAGUAAUCGGCGGCCGUAACUAUAACGGUCCUAAGGUAGAGAACUUCCUUGUCGGGUAAGGUCCGACCCGCACGAAAGGCGUAACGAUUUGGGCACUGUCUCAACGAG
rnacentral:rRNA from 1 species